ACAAGCGGUGGAUCAUGUUGUUUAAUUCGAUGAUACGCGAAGAACCUUACCAGGUCUUGACACUCCCCCGCGAUGCUUUAGAGAUAAAGCGGAGGUAUUCGGGGAGACAGGUGGUGCAUGGUUGUCGUCAGCUCGUGUCGUGAGAUGUUGGGUUAAGUCCCGCAACGAGCGCAACCCCUAUUGCUAGUUACCAUCAUUAAGUUGGGGACUCUAGCGAGACUGCCAGUGAUAAACUGGAGGAAGGUGGGGAUGACGUCAAAUCAUCAUGCCCCUUAUGACCUGGGCUACAAACGUGAUACAAUGGCUGGAACAAAGGGAUGCGAAGCAGUGAUGUGGAGCGAAACCCAUAAAAACAGUCUCAGUUCGGAUUGAAGUCUGCAACUCGACUUCAUGAAGUCGGAAUCGCUAGUAAUCGCGGAUCAGAACGCCGCGGUGAAUACGUUCUCGGGGUUU
rnacentral:rRNA from 1 species